rnacentral:rRNA from 1 species
GAUGAAUGCUGGCGGCGUGCCUAAUACAUGCAAGUAGAACGCUGAAGGAGGAGCUUGCUCUUCUGGAAGAGUUGCGAACGGGUGAGUAACGCGUAGGUAACCUGCCUCUUAGCGGGGGAUAACUAUUGGAAACGAUAGCUAAUACCGCAUAAAAGUCGACAUUGCAUGAUGUUGACUUGAAAGGUGCAAAUGCAUCACUAAGAGAUGGACCUGCGUUGUAUUAGCUAGUUGGUGAGGUAACGGCUCACCAAGGCGACGAUACAUAGCCGACCUGAGAGGGUGAUCGGCCACACUGGGACUGAGACACGGCCCAGACUCCUACGGGAGGCAGCAGUAGGGAAUCUUCGGCAAUGGGGGCAACCCUGACCGAGCAACGCCGCGUGAGUGAAGAAGGUUUUCGGAUCGUAAAGCUCUGUUGUAAGAGAAGAACGAGUGUGAGAGUGGAAAGUUCACGCUGUGACGGUAUCUUACCAGAAAGGGACGGCUAACUACGUGCCAGCAGCCGCGGUAAUACGUAGGUCCCGAGCGUUAUCCGGAUUUAUUGGGCGUAAAGCGAGCGCAGGCGGUUAGAUAAGUCUGAAGUUAAAGGCUGUGGCUUAACCAUAGUACGCUUUGGAAACUGUUUAACUUGAGUGCAGAAGGGGGAGAGUGGGAAUUCCAUGUGUAUGCGGUGAAAUGCGUAUAUAUAUGGAAGGAACACCGGUGGUGAAAUGCGUGCUCUCUUGGUCUGUAACUGACGCUGAGGCUCGAAAGCGUGUGGAGCAAACAUG